rnacentral:rRNA from 1 species
AUUGAACGCUGGCGGCAGGCCUAACACAUGCAAGUCGAGCGAGUGGCGGACGGGUGAGUAAUGUCUGGGAAACUGCCCGAUGGAGGGGGAUAACUACUGGAAACGGUAGCUAAUACCGCAUACCAUUGGUUGUGCCCAGAUGGGAUUAGCUAGUAGGUGGGGUAAAGGCUCACCUAGGCGACGAUCCCUAGAUGGUCUGAGAGGAUGACCAGCCACACUGGAACUGAGACACGGUCCAGACUCCUACGGUAGGCAGCAGUGGGGAAGAUUGCACAAUGGGCACAAGCCUGAUGCAGCCAUGCCGCGUGUAUGAAGAAGGCCUGCGGGUUGUAAAGUACUUUCAGCGGGGAGGCGUUACCCGCAGAAGAAGCACCGGCUAACUCCGUGCCAGCAGCCGCGGUAAUAC